rnacentral:rRNA from 1 species
UACGAAGGGGGCUAGCGUUGCUCGGAAUCACUGGGCGUAAAGCGCACGUAGGCGGAUCGUUAAGUCAGGGGUGAAAUCCUGGAGCUCAACUCCAGAACUGCCUUUGAUACUGAGGAUCUUGAGUUCGGGAGAGGUGAGUGGAACUGCGAGUGUAGAGGUGAAAUUCGUAGAUAUUCGCAAGAACACCAGUGGCGAAGGCGGCUCACUGGCCCGAUACUGACGCUGAGGCACGAAAGCGUGGGGAGCAAACAGG